rnacentral:misc_RNA from 1 species
GUCCAGUAAACAGUAACGAAAGUAAAUUUACUGAUAACUAAUAACUUUCCACUGAUAACUGAUAACUGAUCACUGAUAACUGAUUGGGGGUAAGGGUGCAAAGGUGCGGUAAGAGCGCACCAGCAGUAUCGAGAGGUACUGGCUCGGUAAACCCCGGUGGGGAGCAAGGUGGAGGGACAAAGGUUGGUCUUUUUCCUGUCCCGUUUUUAGGAACCGCUUGAGGUAAUUGGUAACAAUUAUCCCAGAUAGAUAACCUCUAUUCCAACAAAGGUAAAAGCAAUUUUA